UUGGAGUCUUAACCAACUGGCAGCCCUACCAGACUUUUUAAUUAAUUGGUUACUAAGUGUCAAGGCACUAUGAAAUUCUAAGGUAUCCAAGUAAACUCAAUAGAUAUAUAACAUGGAUCUCAGAAUGUAUGGUCAAUGUAAUCAUAAUGUAGGAAGUGGUAUAUAUUCUCCUAUACUGAGAAGAUUUCAUGAUGUGGGCACUUGUACCAAAUUUAGGAUAAUACUGCCUGGGAAGAUCAUCAAAUGUCAAAGUCUAGGGAUGGGAGAACAUGGAGACAUCCUACUAAAUCAUACAAUGACUAAAGCUUGUGAUAGACAUUUAUCAAUCCACCAUGGGAUGCCUGCUGUGACAAGCUGUCUUCAGGAACGGAGGAUUUGCGAAGAUAAAGUUACACUGGGUUUGCUCUAUAAAAGGAAAGCCAAAUGAAAACUUCAGCACUAUGCUUUGGAGACCAUUUUAAACAGUAAAAUCACCAAGAAGAAGCAUAAAAUUGCAAAUAAUGUGGCACCAAAUAAACGGCAAAGAAGAUAAUCAGAAGGAGAGCUGAAACAAGAAAACAGAACAUCAUCUUGUUUGACCUCCAUUGGGAACCUGCUCUAAAGCAGUCUUUUCCAGGCAGGUGGCCGAAGAGGUAGCAGUGACGGGGUCCAGGUGUCCUAGAAGAAAGCAAACAUUCAUGUUGUGAAUUGCCCUUGGCGGCCACACGGUAGAGAGCUACAGGCAGCAUGGAGGAGCUGAGAGCUAACCCCAGACAACUGCUAGAAGGAUAACAGGGCCUCAGUCCUAAACUUGUGAGGAAAUGAAGUCUGCCAACAACCAGUGAACUUGGAAGACAAUUCUGAGCCAAGAUGAGAACUAUAACUCAAGCCAACAUUUUGAUUUCAGCUCAUGAGACCCUGAGCAGAGAAAUCCAGCCACACCAUGUCCAGACUUGUGACCUACAGAACCUCUGAGGUAAUAAAUUUGUGUUGACAGAAGCUACUCCAUUUGUGGUCUUUCGUUACACAGGAACAGUAAACUCGUAAAACCCAGGAAAUUUGUCAUUUGAAGUUCACCAAAAUCGAGCGUCAAAGGAAAGCUUCCCAAAGUUUCUCCUGAAGGAAGCGUCAAGGAAGGUACAAGUUUCAGGUUCAGUAGACAUUAUCCAACCUAAUCCAGUGAAGGUCACUGAUGGUC